AACUGUGUAAUGAAUGCACCAAUCUCAUCUGAUCUUGGAAGCUAAGCAGGUUUGGGCCUGGCUAGUACUUGGAUGGGAGACUGCCUGGGAAUAUCAGGUGCCACAGGUU
ensembl:rRNA 5S_rRNA 5S ribosomal RNA